rnacentral:rRNA from 1 species
GAUGAACGCUGGCGGCGUGCUUAACACAUGCAAGUCGAACGGGAUCGGCUGGAGCUUGCUCCGGCCGUGAGAGUGGCGAACGGGUGAGUAAUGCGUGACCGACCUGCCCCAUACACCGGAAUAGCUCCUGGAAACGGGUGGUAAUGCCGGAUGCUCCAGUUGGAUGCAUGUCCUUCUGGGAAAGAUUCAUCGGUAUGGGGAUGGGGGUCGCGUCCUAUCAGCUUGAUGGCGGGGUAACGGCCCACCAUGGCUU